GGGGUCGGGAUGUCUUCCAGGUUGGGGUCCAGGAUGGGGUCCCAGAUGGGGUCCACGAUGGGGUCCGGGAUGUCUUCCAGGUUGGGGUCCAGGUUGGGUCGUGAGUUGGGGUCCAGGUUGGGUUCUGGGAUGCGCCAUGAAUUGGGGUCCAAGUUGGGGUCCAGGAUGGGUUCCACAUUGGGGUCCGGGAUGGACCAUGAAUUGGGGUCCAGGUUGGGGUCCGGGUUGGGUCGUGAGUUGGGGUCCAGGUUGGGGUCCAGGUUGGGUUCUGGGAUGGGUUCCAUGAUGGACCUUGAAUUGGGAUCCACGUUGGGUUCCAGGUUGGGUUCUGGGAUAGGCCAUGAUUUGGGAUCUCCAUUGGGUUCCAUGUUGGGCCAUGAAUUGGGAUCGGUGUUGGGAUCCACAUCGGGUUCCGGGUUGGGCCGUGAUUUGGGAUCCACAUCGGGUUCCACAUCGGGUUCCAGGAUGGGCCACCAAUUGGGAUCUCCAUGGGGUUCCAGGUUGGGUUCUUCAUUGAGCCACGCAUUGGGAUCCACGUUGGGAUCCACACUCCAUUCUCCAUAGGGCCACACAUCGGGAUCUGUGUUGGGAUCAAUGUUGGGUUCCACAUCAGCGUUGGGCAGCGCUUUGAGAUUCAUCUAUUGGGAUCCGUAUUGGGAUCCAUGCUAAGAAAUGCCCCAGGAUCCAUAUUGGGAUCCGUAUUGGGAUCUGUAUGGGAUCCAUGCCGGGAAAUGCCCCCGGGAUCUGUAUUGGGAUCUGUAUGGGAUCCAUGCUGGGAAAUGCCCCGGGAUCUGUAUUGGGAUCAGUAUGGGAUCCAUGCUAAGAAAUGCCCCGGGAUCCAUAUUGGGAUCCGUAUUGGGAUCUAUAUGGGAUCCAUGCUGGGAAAUGCCCCGGAGUCCCUAUUGCGACCCACAU
ensembl:lncRNA